GACGAACGCUGGCGGCGUGCCUAAUACAUGCAAGUAGAACGCUGAAGGAGGAGCUUGCUUCUCUGGAUGAGUUGCGAACGGGUGAGUAACGCGUAGGUAACCUGCCUGGUAGCGGGGGAUAACUAUUGGAAACGAUAGCUAAUACCGCAUAAGAGUAGAUGUUGCAUGACAUUUGCUUAAAAGGUGCAAUUGCAUCACUACCAGAUGGACCUGCGUUGUGUUAGCUAGUUGGUGGGGUAACGGCUCACCAAGGCGACGAUACAUAGCCGACCUGAGAGGGUGAUCGGCCACACUGGGACUGAGACACGGCCCAGACCCCUACGGGAGGCAGCAGUAGGGAAUCUUCGGCAAUGGACGGAAGUCUGACCGAGCAACGCCGCGUGAGUGAAGAAGGUUUUCGGAUCGUAAAGCUCUGUUGUAAGAGAAGAACGAGUGUGAGAGUGGAAAGUUCACACUGUGACGGUAUCUUACCAGAAAGGGACGGCUAACUACGUGCCAGCAGCCGCGGUAAUACGUAGGUGGCAAGCGUUAUCCGGAUUUAUUGGGCGUAAAGAGAGUGCAGGCGGUUUUCUAAGUCUGAUGUGAAAGCCUUCGGCUUAACCGGAGAAGUGCAUCGGAAACUGGAUAACUUGAGUGCAGAAGAGGGUAGUGGAACUCCAUGUGUAGCGGUGGAAUGCGUAGAUAUAUGGAAGAACACCAGUGGCGAAUGCGGCUACCUGGUCUGCAACUGACGCUGAGACUCGAAAGCAUGGGUAGCGAACAGG
rnacentral:rRNA from 1 species